GAAAUUUAAAGUCUCGCCUGCCCACUGAGUUUUAAAGGGCUGCGGUAAUUUGACCGUGCAAAGGUAGCAUAAUCAUUAGUCUUUUAAUUGAAGGCUGGAAUGAACGGCUGGAUGAGGGAUUAACUGUCUCAAAUACAAUUUAUAAGUUGACUUUUAAGUGAAAAGGCUUAAAUUAUUUAAAGGGACGAUAAGACCCUAUAAAACUUGACACUCCACUGUGUUUAGCUUUAAAUUUUAAUCUAAAAUUGUAAGGGUAGCUGUGUGUUUUGUUGGGGAGACAUUGAUAUAAGUAGUAACUGUCUGAUCAAAAAUUAUAAUUAUAAUUAGUAUAUGAUCCCUAUUUUAGGAUUAUAAGAAUAAGUUACUUUAGGGAUAACAGCGUAAUUUUCUCUGAGAGUUCUUAUCGAAGAGAGUAGUUGCGACCUCGAUGUUGAAUUAAAAUUUCUUUUAGGUGUAGCCGCUUAAUAAGUAGGUCUGUUCGA
rnacentral:rRNA from 1 species